rnacentral:rRNA from 1 species
AUUGAACGCUGGCGGCAUGCCUUACACAUGCAAGUCGAACGGUAACAGGUUAAGCUGACGAGUGGCGAACGGGUGAGUAAUGUAUCGGAACGUGCCCAGUCGUGGGGGAUAACUGCUCGAAAGAGCAGCUAAUACCGCAUACGACCUGAGGGUGAAAGCUGGGGAUCGCAAGACCUCGCGCGAUUGGAGCGGCCGAUAUCAGAUUAGGUAGUUGGUGGGGUAAAGGCCUACCAAGCCUACGAUCUGUAGCUGGUCUGAGAGGACGACCAGCCACACUGGGACUGAGACACGGUCCAGACUCCUACGGGAGGCAGCAGUGGGGAAUUUUGGACAAUGGACGCAAGUCUGAUCCAGCCAUGCCGCGUGCGGGAAGAAGGCCUUCGGGUUGUAAACCGCUUUUGUCAGGGAAGAAAAGGUUCUGGCUAAUACCUGGGACUCAUGACGGUACCUGAAGAAUAAGCACCGGCUAACUACGUGCCAGCCGCCGCGGUAAAAC